rfam:Lingula anatina scaffold529, whole genome shotgun sequence.
AAAACAGCCCUUUUCAGGGCUACCCACUCGAAAAGAAAAGCUAUA